rnacentral:rRNA from 1 species
GGUCAAGUGAAGAAGCGCAUACGGUGGAUGCCUUGGCAGUCAGAGGCGAUGAAAGACGUGGUAGCCUGCGAAAAGCUUCGGGGAGUCGGCAAACAGACUGUGAUCCGGAGAUGUCUGAAUGGGGGAACCCAGCCAUCACAAGAUGGUUAUCUUACACUGAAUACAUAGGUGUAAGAGGCGAACCAGGGGAACUGAAACAUCUAAGUACCCUGAGGAAAAGAAAUCAACCGAGAUUCCCUUAGUAGUGGCGAGCGAACGGGGACCAGCCCUUAAGUUGUAUUGAGAUUAGCGGAACGCUCUGGAAAGUGCGGCCAUAGUGGGUGAUAGCCCUGUACGCGAAAAUCCCUUUGCAAUGAAAUCGAGUAGGACGGGGCACGAGAAACCUUGUCUGAAUAUGGGGGGACCAUCCUCCAAGGCUAAAUACUACUGACUGACCGAUAGUGAACCAGUACCGUGAGGGAAAGGCGAAAAGAACCGCGGAGAGCGGAGUGAAAUAGAUCCUGAAACCGUAUGCGUACAAGCAGUGGGAGCCCACUUUGUUGGGUGACUGCGUACCUUUUGUAUAAUGGGUCAGCGACUUAUUUUCAGUGGCGAGCUUAACCGAAUAGGGGAGGCGUAGCGAAAGCGAGUCUUAAUAGGGCGUCUAGUCGCUGGGAAUAGACCCGAAACCGGGCGAUCUAUCCAUGGGCAGGUUGAAGGUUGGGUAACACUAACUGGAGGACCGAACCGACUACCGUUGAAAAGUUAGCGGAUGACCUGUGGAUCGGAGUGAAAGGCUAAUCAAGCUCGGAGAUAGCUGGUUCUCCUCGAAAGCUAUUUAGGUAGCGCCUCAUGUAUCACUGUAGGGGGUAGAGCACUGUUUCGGCUAGGGGGUCAUCCCGACUUACCAAACCGAUGCAAACUCCGAAUACCUACAAGUGCCGAGCAUGGGAGACACACGGCGGGUGCUAACGUCCGUCGUGAAAAGGGAAACAACCCAGACCGUCAGCUAAGGUCCCAAAGUCAUGGUUAAGUGGGAAACGAUGUGGGAAGGCUUAGACAGCUAGGAGGUUGGCUUAGAAGCAGCCACCCUUUAAAGAAAGCGUAAUAGCUCACUAGUCGAGUCGGCCUGCGCGGAAGAUGUAACGGGGCUCAAACCAUGCACCGAAGCUACGGGUAUCACCUUUGGUGAUGCGGUAGAGGAGCGUUCUGUAAGCCUGUGAAGGUGAGUUGAGAAGCUUGCUGGAGGUAUCAGAAGUGCGAAUGCUGACAUGAGUAACGACAAUGGGUGUGAAAAACACCCACGCCGAAAGACCAAGGUUUCCUGCGCAACGUUAAUCGACGCAGGGUUAGUCGGUCCCUAAGGCGAGGCUGAAAAGCGUAGUCGAUGGAAAACAGGUUAAUAUUCCUGUACUUCUGGUUAUUGCGAUGGAGGGACGGAGAAGGCUAGGCCAGCCUGGCGUUGGUAGUCCAGGUUUAAGGUGGUAGGCUGAGAUCUUAGGUAAAUCCGGGAUCUUAAGGCCGAGAGCUGAUGACGAGUGUUCUUUUAGAACAUGAAGUGGUUGAUGCCAUGCUUCCAAGAAAAGCUUCUAAGCUUCAGGUAACCAGGAACCGUACCCCAAACCGACACAGGUGGUUGGGUAGAGAAUACCAAGGCGCUUGAGAGAACUCGGGUGAAGGAACUAGGCAAAAUGGCACCGUAACUUCGGGAGAAGGUGCGCCGGUGAGGGUGAAGCAUUUACUGCGUAAGCCCACGCCGGUCGAAGAUACCAGGCCGCUGCGACUGUUUAUUAAAAACACAGCACUCUGCAAACACGAAAGUGGACGUAUAGGGUGUGACGCCUGCCCGGUGCCGGAAGGUUAAUUGAUGGGGUUAGCGCAAGCGAAGCUCUUGAUCGAAGCCCCGGUAAACGGCGGCCGUAACUAUAACGUUCCUAAGGUAGCGAAAUUCCUUGUCGGGUAAGUUCCGACCUGCACGAAUGGCGUAACGAUGGCGGCGCUGUCUCCACCCGAGACUCAGUGAAAUUGAAAUCGCUGUGAAGAUGCAGUGUAUCCGCGGCUAGACGGAAAGACCCCGUGAACCUUUACUAUAGCUUUGCACUGGACUUUGAAUUUGCUUGUGUAGGAUAGGUGGGAGGCUUUGAAGCGUGGACGCCAGUCUGCGUGGAGCCAACCUUGAAAUACCACCCUGGCAACUUUGAGGUUCUAACUCAGGUCCGUUAUCCGGAUCGAGGACAGUGUAUGGUGGGUAGUUUGACUGGGGCGGUCUCCUCCUAAAGAGUAACGGAGGAGUACGAAGGUGCGCUCAGACCGGUCGGAAAUCGGUCGUAGAGUAUAAAGGCAAAAGCGCGCUUGACUGCGAGACAGACACGUCGAGCAGGUACGAAAGUAGGUCUUAGUGAUCCGGUGGUUCUGUAUGGAAGGGCCAUCGCUCAACGGAUAAAAGGUACUCCGGGGAUAACAGGCUGAUACCGCCCAAGAGUUCAUAUCGACGGCGGUGUUUGGCACCUCGAUGUCGGCUCAUCACAUCCUGGGGCUGAAGCCGGUCCCAAGGGUAUGGCUGUUCGCCAUUUAAAGUGGUACGCGAGCUGGGUUUAGAACGUCGUGAGACAGUUCGGUCCCUAUCUGCCGUGGACGUUUGAGAUUUGAGAGGGGCUGCUCCUAGUACGAGAGGACCGGAGUGGACGAACCUCUGGUGUUCCGGUUGUCACGCCAGUGGCAUUGCCGGGUAGCUAUGUUCGGAAAAGAUAACCGCUGAAAGCAUCUAAGCGGGAAACUUGCCUCAAGAUGAGAUCUCACUGGAACCUAGAGUUCCCUGAAGGGCCGUCGAAGACUACGACGUUGAUAGGUUGGGUGUGUAAGCGCUGUGAGGCGUUGAGCUAACCAAUACUAAUUGCCCGUGAGGCUUGACCAU